AGGACGAACGCUGGCGGCGUGCUUAACACAUGCAAGUCGAGCGGUAAGGCCUUUCGGGGUACACGAGCGGCGAACGGGUGAGUAACACGUGGGUGAUCUGCCCUGCACUUCGGGAUAAGCCUGGGAAACUGGGUCUAAUACCGGAUAUGACCUCAGGUUGCAUGACUUGGGGUGGAAAGAUUUAUCGGUGCAGGAUGGGCCCGCGGCCUAUCAGCUUGUUGGUGGGGUAAUGGCCUACCAAGGCGACGACGGGUAGCCGACCUGAGAGGGUGACCGGCCACACUGGGACUGAGACACGGCCCAGACUCCUACGGGAGGCAGCAGUGGGGAAUAUUGCACAAUGGGCGAAAGCCUGAUGCAGCGACGCCGCGUGAGGAUGACGGCCUUCGGGUUGUAAACCUCUUUCAGCAGGACGAAGCGCAAGUGACGGUACCUGCAGAAGAAGCACCGGCUAACGUACGUGCCAAGCCGAC
rnacentral:rRNA from 1 species